rnacentral:tRNA from 1 species
AGUUCUAUGCCUGAUAAAAGGGGUAAAUUGUAAAUUUAUAUAUGGAAAAUGAUUCCUAGGACUA